rnacentral:rRNA from 1 species
GAUGAACGCUAGCGGCAGGCUUAACACAUGCAAGUCGAGGGGUAUAGUUCUUCGGAAUUAGAGACCGGCGCACGGGUGCGUAACGCGUAUGCAAUCUACCUUUCACAGAGGGAUAGCCCCAGAGAAAUUUGGAUUAAUACCUCAUAGUAUAGCAGUUUCGCAUGAAACCACUAUUAAAGUCACAACGGUGAAAGAUGAGCAUGCGUCCCAUUAGCUAGUUGGGAAGUAACGGCUUACCAAGGCAACGAUGGGUAGGGGUCCUGAGAGGGAGAUCCCCCACACUGGUACUGAGACACGGACCAGACUCCUACGGGAGGCAGCAGUGAGGAAUAUUGGACAAUGGGCGCAAGCCUGAUCCAGCCAUGCCGCGUGCAGGAAUAAGGUCCUAUGGAUUGUAAACUGCUUUUAUACAGGAAGAAACACACCCUCGUNAGGGUACUUGACGGUACUGUAUGAAUAAGGACCGGCUAACUCCGUGCCAGCAGCCGCGGUAAAG